rnacentral:rRNA from 1 species
GCACGAAUGGGCGCAAGCCUGAUGCAGCCAUGCCGCGUGUAUGAAGAAGGCCUUACGGGUUGUUAAAGUACUUUCAGCAGUGAGGGAAGGCGGGUACGUUAAUAGCGUGCUCGUUUUGACGUUUAGCUGCAGAAGAAGCACCGGCUAACUCCGUGCCAGCAGCCGCGGUAAUACGGAGGGUGCGAGCGUUAAUCGGAAUUACUGGGCGUAAAAGCGCAUGCAGGUGGUUUGUUAAGUCAGAUGUGAAAAGCCCGGGGCUCAACCUCGGAAUUGCAUUUGAAACUGGCAGACUAGAGUACUGUAGAGGGGGUAGAAUUUCAGGUGUAGCGGUGAAAUGCGUAGAGAUCUGAAGGAAUACCGGUGGCGAAGGCGGCCCCCUGGACAGAUACUGACACUCAGAUGCGAAAGCGUGGGGAGCAAACAGGAUUAGAUACCCUGGUAG